CUUCCAAGUCAGAAAUGUCCGAGUUUCGAUGAGCACAUGAACGUGUCAUCACCCUUUCAAUAUAAUGCCCGGAGACCAAUGGUGCGUUCUCGACACCUCGGAACUUCAACCUAGCUCGGAAUUCGGGAAUCUCCAACCUCCGAAUUCAGUGCUUUCAAAACAAUUGGGAACUAAUAAAAAAAACAUUUCUGACUGGAAAAAUGAGUUUUGAACGGUCAUCCAACUUGGAAUUACUAUUCGUAAACUCGGGCGUCAUGCCGCUUUCAAAACAAUUGAGAACUCUGGCUAAAAUUAGCUCGGACUGGGAAAAAUAAUUUUGAAUUCCAAGUCGGAACUCUUUCUCCGUCGUGAUUUGACCUAGUUUUUUUCCGAGUUCCCAGUUGUCUUGAAAGCGCCAUCGUCAUUAGAACUCCGACUUCUCUGACAUGAAGGUCACUGACGUCCCGAUCCUAAGAUUUCCCCCCCCAUUCUGAGCUCGUUUUUUCCGAAUCCCCAAUUCGCUUGAAUGCACCAAAAGUUUAUAUAGCGCAAAAGACUGGCCAGCCACAUGCUUGCUCAUUCGAUUAGUCUUGUGAUCGACCUGAAGACGCCUUUCUCAAUGUCGAAGUUAUGGCUUAGAAAUGCUUCAUUGGUGUUUAACGUUAGUUAUUGGUACACUGCUGCCACUUGAGUCUUGCAAUGCUCCUGAACUGGUCAUUAACUCCAAGUAGCUAAAUUGGUGUUGUGGAGGGUUGGGCCUUGCAGAACCAUGCACGUGGGGAACUGGAGAAACGUAAAACCAUUCCGGGGUUCUAGAUUCGGGAGCCCACUCCUUCUGGACCUGGCCAGGGCGGUAUGAACUGGAGCAUACCCCAUUGACUGCACAUGGCUGGAGUGAUACCGCCCCAAUGAGUUGAUGACUAGAAGACUCACGGUAAGACUACCACACCCAUUUCACCUAGACUUUACUUUGACAUUUUAUCGUUGGUUUCUGUCUAGUCUGGUUGUGAUGAAUACUUAACUGAAAAUAGCUGGAAUUACCGUCAGAUUGUUUAGUGCUGAAAUUCGGUUUUCUGAACCUGACCUGGCAGUUACUUUAUCUACUUUAGUUUCUUCCCCACUCUUGAGCUGCUUCUGAAUAGAUGAUAGUAUUCAUAUUCUCAUAACCCUUGUGAGUUUGUUUUUAACAGGUGUUAAACCACCCCAAUGGGUUGAUGGCAAGUAGACUUAACCUGGUAAGGUAAGCCUAUCACGCUGGCGAAAGCCAACACCUCACCCGUCCCUUUCUCAGGGUAGCUGUCAUUUUGUGUUGUGAUGAAUACUAAACUGAAAACAGCUGGAAUUACCGUCAGAUUGUACAGUGGUGAUAUUCGGUUUUCUGAACAUGACUGGCUCCGACUGGAAAAAUUGGAACUUGCAUAUAUAACAUUAUCACAUAUUGUAAUCUUAGAUUCUCUGCUUUUCAGGUGGUGUCCCUUUGAAUAACAUCCCUGCAAGUUCUCCCUGGACUGGACCUGUGGACGAUUCUCUUCCACGUGGCCGGAGUUUCCAAGACGGUCGGUCCUUUCUUCCUCUGGAAGUGAUCAACUGGAAGGAAUUGUGUUGUGUGGUAGCCCAUAUGGGACUCACCUGGGACAUGGAUACCUGAAGACCGAAGGCUCAACAUUGUUAAUAAAUAUCAUGAGCAGCAGUGGUUUCCUUUGUCUUUUCCAUGUGUGUUCUGCUUUGUUUGUGAGGUUUUGCUGAGUAAUGGUGUUUGUCUGUGACUAUAGCAAAGACGGUCAUUCUUUUUAACUUCAAUAAAUCGGUUUUAACCAAG